rnacentral:rRNA from 1 species
AUUGAACGCUGGCGGCAGGCCUAACACAUGCAAGUCGAGCGAGCGGCGGACGGGUGAGUAAUGUCUGGGAAACUGCCCGAUGGAGGGGGAUAACUACUGGAAACGGUAGCUAAUACCGCAUACCAUCAGAUGUGCCCAGUUGGGAUUCGCUAGUUGGUGGGGUAACGGCUCACCUAGGCGACGAUCCCUAGAUGGUCUGAGAGGAUGACCAGCCACACUGGAACUGAGACACGGUCCAGACUCCUACGCGAGGCAGCAGUGGGGAAUAUUACACAAUGGGGGCAAGCCUGAUGCAGCCAUGCCGCGUGUGUGAAGAAGGCCUUCGGGUUGUAAAGCACUUUCAGCGGGGAGGCGUUACCCGCAGAAGAAGCACCGGCUAACUACGUGCCAGCAGCCGCGGUAAUAC